rnacentral:miRNA from 1 species
AACUAGACUCAAAAGAUUCAUCUC